rnacentral:rRNA from 1 species
CACCUACGGGUGGCUGCAGUGGGGAAUUUUGGACAAUGGGCGCAAGCCUGAUCCAGCAAUGCCGCGUGCAGGAUGAAGGCCUUCGGGUUGUAAACUGCUUUUGUACGGAACGAAACGGCUCUUUCUAAUACAAGGGGCUAAUGACGGUACCGUAAGAAUAAGCACCGGCUAACUACGUGCCAGCAGCCGCGGUAAUACGUAGGGUGCGAGCGUUAAUCGGAAUUACUGGGCGUAAAGCGUGCGCAGGCGGUCUUGUAAGACAGAUGUGAAAUCCCCGGGCUCAACCUGGGACCUGCAUUUGUGACUGCAAGGCUGGAGUACGGCAGAGGGGGAUGGAAUUCCGCGUGUAGCAGUGAAAUGCGUAGAUAUGCGGAGGAACACCGAUGGCGAAGGCAGUCCCCUGGGCCUGUACUGACGCUCAUGCACGAAAGCGUGGGGAGCAAACAGGAUUAGAUACCCUGGUAGUCCACGCCCUAAACGAUGUCAACUGGUUGUUGGGCCUUCGCUGGCUCAGUAACGAAGCUAACGCGUGAAGUGACC